UAGUCUGCAUGGAUGCGGUUUCACUCUUUCAUCUGCUUCCUGGCAGCCUGGGGCGUGGAGAAGGCAGAGGGCUGCACCGGGAGAGGGCUGGAGCCGAGUGAAGUGACUGUCGCUGGGGUCGGGAGGUCAAAGGCACUGGACUUGGGGUCCAGAGGAUGCUGAUGUUGCUCCAGACCAGUGACUCUCUACCAAGGGUGACUUUGUACCCCUGUAGGACAUUGGACAAGGUCUGGAGACAUUUUUGGUGGUCGCGACUGAGGGGUGUGUGUAGUGUUGCUGGCAUCUUGUGAGUAGAGGCCAGGGAUGCUGCUAGGCAUCCUCCAGGGCACAGAACAGCCCCCACCACAGGAAUGAGCUGGCUCACAAUGUCAGUAGAGGCAAGGUGGAGAAUCCCGGCCCUAGAAGCUGCCAGGGCUUGCUUAGGGUGGAGAAAGGGACAGAGCCUGGGGUAGAGGGAGCCAGGCCCAGUUAGCAGUGAGGAGCAAAGAGGAUGCUUACUGCAAAUUUGGACCUUAAGGUACGUGCUUAUAGAGGGUUGAGGUAGGGGGUGCAGAGAGGAGUAGUUCCGGCUGAAUGAGGCUGCAUAAGAAGUGGGGUUUUGGUGGGGGCAGAGACCUUCAGUUGAGACAGAAGGUACAGAUGCUUUGUCUGGGGACGUGGUGAAGCAUGGGGGUGAGUUUGUUCACUUAAAAGAUGGGUUCCAGGCCGGGUGUGGUGCCUCACGCCUGUAAUCCCAGCACUCUGGGAGGCUGAGGCCGGUGGACCACCUGAGGUCGGGAGUU
rnacentral:lncRNA from 10 species